GCAAUUCUCAAGCGAGCCUGUGGUAGUGAAAGUCAGGUGAAGGAAAGAUAAAGAUUGGCACUUUCGGAAUGAAUCUGAAAUAAAAUGAAGUAAUAAAUUAGGGUGGAACCGCGUCUCAACG
rnacentral:sRNA from 1 species